GCCAGGUGGCAGAGUGGUGUAAUGCGAUAGAUUAGAAAUCUAUCUCCCUCCAGGGCGCUUGUUCGAAUCAGCCCGUAGACCA